CCAGUGCUCCAAAGAAUAUUGGAAGCACUAUUAGAUGGCAGCCCAUCUUGAGCAAGAUUUCUGGGUGAGCCUUUAGCACUAGAGGUCUCCUCUUGCGAUCCUAAAUGAACAGAAUCAAACUUCUCAACAAAUUCAGAAGGCCACCAGGUUUGAUUCGAAGGUCCUUGCUCUGAUGGCCCAGCAUCAUCUCGUCUCUCUCCCAUUGCCUUAUUUCCUUGAGGUCUACAAUGAUAUCAGCUCCUACUUAUCCCAUAAUUGGAACAGUUAGACAUUAAGCAUCAAACCUGUACACAGAAACGAAAAAUGGUAUAUAAGAAAACUAUGAUAAUUAAUAAAUGAAAAAAAAAACUAGUUUUUCCUCAUCACAACCUCACUAGUGCAAUGCUUAAACUCAACGGAAAAAGAAAGAUCGAAAGGAUCAAACCAAAACUAUCUCACUGAAUGCAUACAAAAAAAAAAUUCAAAAUCAAGAGAGAGUGAAAUAAUCCAAUCUCACUCUUAGGUCAACGCUAGAAUAUUGAAAGGAUCAUAACUGAAUAGACUAUAGAGCAAAGCUAACUUAGAUCCCAUGUAAAAAUCCUCUUAAGUACGACUAUUCAUUAGUGCGAUCCCGUUCGAUCUACCCAGAAAAGUUUCAAUGCGAAAUCAAAACCCUAACGCAAAACUCACAAAUACUUAAACCGACGCGAAGAACACAAAGACCAUCUAGAAACCCUAUCUAAGAUCGAUCCAAUACACACAGCUAAGGCAGAUGCAGUUACGAGAAAAGUUCAAAUAAGGGUUUUUGUAUAAAAUCACCACAAUCAGAUCCACACAUUCAAUUUUCGAUCGAACUUCUCGGCACGAUGAACAUUUGAAAUCAAACUCUACAUAGCACACCAAACUCGAUCUCACUGCUAAGGCGGAUGCAGUAGAAAAUCAAUCGGCCGAUCAAAGAUAAUCAAAAGAGCUACGCGUUACGCACACACGCACGCACACGAGACAAUCAGAGUGAUUUGGGAUUUGAUGUUUGGGAGCAGAGAAAAAGAGUGAUGCAAUUUUAGGAAAGUGAUGAAGGAAGGCGAGGAGGGAAAGGAGAGGAAGAGGGGAUACGACUGACGAAAGUGACGAUGCCGGGAUCACGUGCGAGAUGAUGAGUCACGUGUUUUAAAGUAGAUGCGCCUCUCUUUGAUGGACAGCUGGCGUUACACGUCAUUCCUCGUGAAUCACCACCGUCGUUUCUCUUUUCCUUGAUUGGUUGUAAAGUUAUGCAGUUUUUGAAAAGUUAGCCUUUAAUUUAAUUUUUUUUUUUUUUAGAGUAGUAGGUUGCUUAUAAACAUCUGCCACCUGCCAGGCAAUUUGAACAAAGGUAUUAUGCUAACUAAAAGAAGUAAACAAGAUUUUUUGAAAUGCUUGCUCGUACUGCAUCUAUAAUAUAUUGCUUAAAUGGGAUGCAGGAGAAAAGGGCUAGCAAACGAAGAUACACAUUUCAUAAUUUAGCACUUUUCUGAGUAAGCAAAAUUCACAAGUGGCGUUUCGAGAAAGAUUUAGGCAAGAUACUAAUAGUCUGGAGAAGUUUAUCUUCAAACGCAACAGAAACUUACUGAUAGUUUCACAACUUAGUAAAGAUAGAAGCUACGAUCACGUGGCCUCUUUCUUAGUAUUAUAACGGACACUCUCAGCAUUAGUUUUCAUUAGACAGACAACUUGUCUCGACUCUUCCUACCUCUGUUUUAUCCAUACAUGAUCAAUAUCAUUGCAUGCCGUUUUGGGAUAACGAAACAAAAUGGUCAUUUAGUGAUUAUUUACAGGAACGAAUAUUAUUUAUGAAACAUGCAUCGCGGUUACGUCCAUUAGUGAAUGAGAUGAUAAAGCAUGCAAUGCAUCAAGAAAUAUUCUAAGAUAAGCUGACAUUUAAACAAAGUAACUCAACCACUCUUACCAAUCCAGCAAUCUUCUUGAUAACAGCAGCUGGUUUUGAGUUCAAUCCACUGACAAGUUUAGUAAUCAACUGCUUUUGCCUGAAAAGCUUCUUAUCUUUUUGAAAAUCAACAAGAAUCACAUCAGCCUUUAGACCUUCCUCGCCCAGAGCAUGAAGAUCUUCCAAUGUAGGAAUGCUAUUAAAUAGUUGCUUCAAUUUACUAUCCUGUAGAAAUUUUUAAAACUAACAUUAAGAAAAAGAAAGUAAGAAAAGAAAAAGAUUCUAGACUUCAAUGUGUAGACAUGUACGGCCGGUUAAUCGAGUUAGAAUAAAUAUCUAAGUGAAACGUUACUGAACAGAGCUAAUAAGCUUACCGGGAUCACAGAGUAGAAACCAUUUGGAAUCGGCUCAGAAAGAGAACCAGUGCUCCAAAGAAUAUUGGAAGCACUAUUAGAUGGCAGCCCAUCUUGAGCAAGAUUUCUGGGUGAGCCUUUAGCACUAGAGGUCUCCUCUUGCGAUCCUAAAUGAACAGAAUCAAACUUCUCAACAAAUUCAGAAGGCCACCAGGUUUGAUUCGAAGGUCCUUGCUCUGAUGGCCCAGCAUCAUCUCGUCUCUCUCCCAUUGCCUUAUUUCCUUGAGGUCUACAAUGAUAUCAGCUCCUACUUAUCCCAUAAUUGGAACAGUUAGACAUUAAGCAUCAAACCUGUACACAGAAACGAAAAAUGGUAUAUAAGAAAACUAUGAUAAUUAAUAAAUGAAAAAAAAAACUAGUUUUUCCUCAUCACAACCUCACUAGUGCAAUGCUUAAACUCAACGGAAAAAGAAAGAUCGAAAGGAUCAAACCAAAACUAUC
rnacentral:lncRNA from 1 species